GAAAUACAUUACAACUACAAUCCAUGUGACGUCACAGUCGGAAUUCAUCAUGGCGGCUGCAGUUUCGUGCGUUUCGAAUAUUUGUAGAACAGAUAAAAGAGUGAAAUCUUGAAAAUU